CUAAUCGGUGUGCCUCACUGUGUCUAUGGCUGUUAGAAUACUGUUUGCUGAACACGAGUGUGUUAUUUUGGAAUAAUUGAUGUUAACCUUGUUUAUGAAAAUAGGGCCCAGGUUUAGCUUUAUACCAAUAUCGCUACUUCUGUGUAGUUGUUUUGUGCUAGUCUAAGGGUGCUGCUCUCUUUGUGUUUUGGUUUUGAAAUUGUUUGUUGUUUUUACUACCUUGCAUAGGUUAACUAGCAAUCUCUCUCAGUAGAGAUUUCUUUUUGGUUAUAUUGUUUUCAUUGGUUUAAGCAGCAUCCAAUCGGCCCUUUUUCUGUUACAGUUUCCAGCGUGUCAGUUGUUACCCUUUGAAUAAAUAACUUUUCUUUACCAAAUCUGGGCAGGUGCCAAGUCCUGCUGGAAAAAGAAACCAACAUCUUCAUAAAGCUUGUCAGCAGAUGGAAGCAUGAAGUGCUGUAAAAUCUCCUGGUAGACAGUUGCAUUGACUCUGGACUUGAUAAAACACAGUGGACCAACACCAGCAGACGACAUGGCACCCCAAAUCAUCACUGACUGUGAAAACUUCACUCUGGACUUCAAGCAACUUGGAUUCUGUGCGUCUCCACUCGUCCUCCAAACUCUGGGACCUUCAUUUCCAAAUGAAAUGCAAAAUUUACUUUAAUCUGAAGAGAGAUCUUUGGACUACUGAACAACGGUCCAGUUCCUUUUCUCCUUAGCCCAGGGUUCCAUCUGUGCCUGGUGGCUCUUGGUGCACUGAUUCCAGCAUCAGUCUACUCCUUAUGAAGCUCCCCCAAGUUCUUGAAUCGGCUGUGUUUGACAAUCCUUUCAAGGCUGCAGUCGUCCCUGUUGCUUAUGGACCUUUUCCUACGACACUUUAACCUUCCAGUCAACUUGCCAUGAAAAUGCUUUGAUACAGCACUCUGCGAACAGACAGCCCUUUUAGCAAUGACCUUCUGUGGCUUAUACCCUCCUUGUGGAGGGUGUUAAUGAGUGACUUCUGGACAACUGUGAAGUCUGACGUCUUGUGCAUGAUUGUGGUUGUGUGUACUGAACCAGACUGAGAGAUUAAAGGCUCUUCUCAGGUUGA